rnacentral:lncRNA from 1 species
UCACACCUGUAAUCCCAGCACUUUGGGAGGCCGAGGCAGGGGUAUCACGAGGUUAGCAGUUCGAGACCAGCCUGACCAACAUGGUGAAACCCAUCUCUACUAAAAAUACAAAGAUUAGCUGGGCAUGGUGGCAGGUCCCUGCUACUCGGGAGGCUGAGGCAGGAGAAUUGCUUGAACCUGAGAGGCAGAGGUUGCAGUGAGCCAAGAUCACGUCACUGCACUCCAGCCUGGGCGACAGGGCAAGACUCCGUCUCAAAAAAAAAAAAAAAAAAAAAAA